CACACGAGAAUCGCGCAUGCGCGGUGGGUCCAGUUGCAGACCGCGGAGCCCGGUGGGAGUCAGUAUGGCGGCCGAGCGCAAAACUAAGUUGUCCAAGAACUUGCUGCGCAUGAAGUUCAUGCAAAGGGGACUGGACUCGGAAACCAAGAAACAACUAGAAGAGGAAGAAAAGAAAAUCAUUAGUGAAGAGCACUGGUACUUGGAUUUGCCUGAGCUGAAAGAGAAAGAGAGUUUCAUUAUAGAAGAGCAGAGUUUCUUGUUGUGUGAAGAUCUUCUCUACGGAAGAAUGUCAUUCAGAGGAUUUAAUCCUGAGGUUGAGAAAUUAAUGCUUCAGAUGAAUGCUAAGAACAAAGCAGAAGAAGUUGAAGAGCAAACAGUGGAGCUUGAUGUCUCAGAUGAAGAAAUGGCUAGAAGAUAUGAGACCUUGGUGGGGACAAUUGGGAAAAAGUUUGCCAAGAAAAGAGACCGUGCCAUUUACGAAGAAGAUGAAAAUGGAGACAUAAAACCAAUUAAAGCAAAGAAGAUGUUCUUAAAGCCCCAAGAUUGAAGUGGAGGCCUUAGGAUAUGGCUCAGGGAUGAGGGCAUGUUUUGGAACGCACUCUGUCGGCUCCUCUGUAGUUAUUAGGGCCGUAAUGUUUAUGUGUAAAGAAACGUAUACUUUUGGAAACAUGCUGUCUUUGGAACAGACGUGUGAUGGAUGUUAUACAUCCUUUGCUUAGCGGUGUUCAUCAGGAGUGGACUUUUAACCCUUGGUCUCCAAAUGUACAUAGGUGAGGACAGCGCACCUUCCUGCUCUCUACAUCCUGGGGCACAAGCUGGAAGUUUCUCACGGCACCACAGUCCCUGAAUUUACGGAGCAUCUCACCCACCCUCAUGAUCCUCUCCACCGUAAUAGGACUGUGGAAUGGUUACUGAAGGUACAACGCACCGUGGCCCUAGGUGGGAUACAACACUCUUACCUUACAAAAUGUAACUGAUGCUUUGAGUCACUGAGCACUCAGCUGGGCCUGCUGCUCUCGCCAUGGUCAGAACGUACCGUCUGGAAUCAGCGGCGGCAAAGGGAACGGCUCCUCCCACUGCUACUCCCACUAACCCGCACAGACACUUUGCUUCCUGUCCCUCGAUUUCGACCUCUGUUGUUUGGAGCUCUGGGUUCCCAAGGAAGGUUUGUUUCCACUAGGGAAGACGGCAGUGGUCCCGAGAAGACAGAAAUUGAAAUAAUCUGACCAUUUUACCACUACACCUGCAGGCAAAAAACGUUAACUCUCCAGGCUGGUACUUGUGAUCUUGGGAACAAAGGGACAUUUGUGUUGUUCCUACACAAUAGGUGAUGAAGAAGGAUGUUAAACCCAGAGCAUCCUCUAGGGCGUGUGUUUUUAGCACUUCCAUGUCCAGUGACAAGUUUUAAAAGGAAAAGUACAACCUCAGAGGUGAAAAAAGAUUUCAACCCUUUAGACUCGGAAGUCUUGGGUCGUUCUGCUGCUGCUGCUGCU